UAAGACCUGUAAAACUCUAAUCUACAUACUCUGACUGCAACUCAGAUGCUUUAAUUAAGCUAAGACCUU
rnacentral:tRNA from 1 species